AUUGAACGCUGGCGGCAGGCCUAACACAUGCAAGUCGAGCGGAUGAAGGGAGCUUGCUCCUGGAUUCAGCGGCGGACGGGUGAGUAAUGCCUAGGAAUCUGCCUGGUAGUGGGGGAUAACGUCCGGAAACGGGCGCUAAUACCGCAUACGUCCUGAGGGAGAAAGUGGGGGAUCUUCGGACCUCACGCUAACAGAUGAGCCUAGGUCGGAUUAGCUAGUUGGUGGGGUAAAGGACUACCAAGGCGACGAUCCGUAACUAGUCUGAGAGGAUGAUCAGCAACACUGUAACUGGACCCCGGUCCGGACUCCUCCGGGAGGCAGCGGUGGGAAAUAUUGGACAAUGAGCGAAAGCCUGAUGCGGCCCUGCCGGGUGUGUAAAGAAGGUCUUCGGAUUGUAAAGCACGUUAAGUUGGGAGAAAGGGCAGUAAGUUAAUACCUUGCUGUUUUGACGUUACCAACAGAAUAAGCACCGGCUAACUUCGUG
rnacentral:rRNA from 1 species